rnacentral:rRNA from 1 species
UUUAUGGAGAGUUUGAUCCUGGCUCAGGAUGAACGCUGGCGGCGUGCCUAAUACAUGCAAGUCGAGCGAACAGAUAAGGAGCUUGCUCCUUUGACGUUAGCGGCGGACGGGUGAGUAAC